rnacentral:rRNA from 1 species
GACGAACGCUGGCGGCGUGCCUAACACAUGCAAGUCGAGCGGAGAAUAUAAAAGUUUACUUUUUUAUUCUUAGCGGCGGACGGGUGAGUAACGCGUGAGAAACUUGCCCUAUAGAGGGGGAUAACACAACGAAAGAUGUGCUAAUACCGCAUAACAAUACAUUAUCGCAUGAUAGAGUAUUCAAAGGAGUAAUCCACUAUAGGAUGGUCUCGCGUCUUAUUAGCUAGUUGGUGAGGUAAUGGCUCACCAAGGCGACGAUCAGUAGCCGAACUGCGAGGUUGAUCGGCCACAGUGGGACUGAGACACGGCCCAGACUCCUACGGGAGGCAGCAGUGGGGAAUAUUGCGCAAUGGGGGAAACCCUGACGCAGCAACGCCGCGUGAAGGAUGAAGGUUUUCGGAUCGUAAACUUCUUUGAUCAGGGAUGAAUAAUGACAGUACCUGAAAAACAAGCCACGGCUAACUACGUGCCAGCCGCCGCAGUAACAC